UACGGAGGGUGCAAGCGUUAUCCGGAUUCACUGGGUUUAAAGGGUGCGUAGGAGGGCAGGUAAGUCAGUGGUGAAAUCUCCGGGCUUAACUCGGAAACUGCCGUUGAUACUCUCUGUCUUGAAUCCCGUGGAGGUGAGCGGAAUAUGUCAUGUAGCGGUGAAAUGCUUAGAUAUGACAUAGAACACCAAUUGCGAAGGCAGCUUACUACACAACGAUUGACGCUGAGGCACGAAAGCGUGGGGAUCAAACAGG
rnacentral:rRNA from 1 species